rnacentral:lncRNA from 1 species
AUGGUUGUCAUUGGUAAAACAACAGGGUGCACACCGUUGUGCCUACUGCCUACUGGGCACCCGAGUCCCUCGUCCUCUGGCUGAGUGGCUGAGGAUGGGCUGUGCACUUGGUGGUGUGGAUAUGGAGGGACGGCUCAGCAGGAACUGCUGCAACUGUACAGCGGGUACAGAGGCCAGGUGUGGUAGGCUUUAGAGAGUGUGGAUAUGGAGGGACGGCUCAGCAGGAACUGCUGCAACUGUACAGCGGGUACAGAGGCCAGGUGUGGUAGGCUUUAGAGAGUGUGGAUAUGGUGGGACGGCUCAGCAGGAACUGCUGCAACUGUACAGCGGGUACAGAGGCCAGGUGUGGUAGGCUUUAGAGAGUGUGGAUAUGGAGGGACGGCUCAGCAGGAACUGCUGCAACUGUACAGCGGCGGGUACAGAGGCCAGGUGUGGUAGGCUUUAGAGAGUGUGGAUAUGGAGGGACGGCUCAGCAGGAACUGCUGCAACUGUACAGCGGGUACAGAGGCCAGGUGUGGUAGGCUUUAGAGAGUGUGGAUAUGGUGGGACGGCUCAGCAGGAACUGCUGCAACUGUACAGGGGGUACAGAGGCCAGGUGUGGUAGGCUUUAGAGAGUGAGAAGGAACGGAGUCCUUAUCAGUUCUUUCCUUCUGAGGUGUGUUUCUUAGGCUAAUUGUAUGUAUGCACGAAUGUAUGUAUGUAUGUAUGCAUGCAUGUAUGUUUGGCUGUGGGAGCUUGUACGCAUGCACCACAUGCAUGCAGGUGCUGUUGGAACUAGAGGUACAGAUGGCUAUGAGCUACCAUGUGGGCAGAGGGGAUCAAACCUGGGUCCUCUAUGAGAAUAACUUGUGUUCUUCACUACUGAGUCAUCAUCUCUCCAGACCCCUUUUAUUGGUCUAUUUUUUUUUGGUAUUUAUUCAUCUAUGUGAGUGUCUGCCACAUGUGCAGAAGAGAGUCAGAGAUCCCUGCAGUUCCAGGUGGUCGUGAGCUACCUGAGGGAGUUCUGGGAACUGCACUUAUUAGGUCUUCUGGAAGAGCAGUAAGUGCCCUUAACCACUGAACUAAACCUCUCUAGCCCCCAUCAGCCAUUUUCAUUUUGCUUACUUCCGUGAUGUAAAACCUCUCCCUGUUUGGGAACCGGAGGAUUGGUGAUGGUUCCUCAGUCUUGAUGACCUCUGCCCUCAGCCUCUGCUCCUCUCUACCCACAGUGAGCUUGGCACAGUCCCUGACUCAGGACUGACCAUGCCUCCUAUGUGCUUUGAGUUUUGAUGUGUUUGUGGACAGUGACAGCAAGCCUCCCUCUGGCAGCCCCGUGGUCACAUGGUUACUACAGAGUUAUCCCUUGAUGUCUGAGGGGAGCAGUUCUGGGAGCCCCAUGAUCAACAAAAUCUACAGAUGCUUAAGUCCCCUGGAUCAAACGAAAUAGCAUUUGUAUGUGACUGCACGGGUCCUCUGUACACUGAGGUCCUCCCUAUAUAACACACAUCGCUACAGAACCACGGUGAUAAAAUUCCUAAGUUUGGUUGUUUGAAGUGGGAGAUUUACAACGGAAAGUAAUUGCUCUAGUUAUUCUGAGACAGCCCCUAGGCAGCUGUUAGCCAGGGUCAGCAUGUGCGCUUGGCAGAAUAUUGCUCUUCCUGAUACGAGAACCUGGACUUAAUGAGGACCGGGAUUCAAUGGUGUUGUGACCCAGUACCCGCUUUGAACUUUCUAACAGAGGCAUGGUCUUUGAUACGGGAGUGUUCCUAAUGGCCGGGGGUGUCUCCAUUUGUCCUGUCCCUAAUCAGUGGUGAUCUUAACAGAAACCCAGAAAACCAAAACUUUAAUUACAUUUGUGGUAAAGCCAUCUCUUUCCUACAGUCUGGUUAGUCCACUACUCAGCUCUGAGCACUCCUUUAGCUAAAGUCUACUGUAUGCAGGCUUAAUGGGUCCUUUAUGACAUCAACUUAUUGCUCCCAGCUUCUCCUGAGCCAGCAAGGGUCUUCUAAUUACUGGGCUUCAGGCAUCUGAAGGACAGAAGACCUUGGGGAGAGUGUGGCGAAUCAGCAGGGAGACAUCAGGCCAAGAGCAAGAUUCAAGUCUCAGGGCAGAGAGUGGGCAGGCAAUGGGGUUGCCACAGCGAGUUUCCGGAAUGAUGGGUUAUCCAUAGGAUUCUGGAACCUGGGAAUAAAUGCGGUCUAUCCUUUU